rnacentral:misc_RNA from 1 species
AAAAUGCUCUCUGCUCAGUGCCCAGUUUACUGGCUGUCAUCAAGAGAGAAGCAGCAGCUCGAAGAACCACUCCAUUAGCUCUACCCUAUUCGCCGCCACAGUCGUCACCGCUCACUGAUCAUGUUGACCUCUUGAAAUCAAUUACUGAUUAUAAUAACUUUUGCAUUUGUUAAUUAAGGUUAGAAUUUAUAGUUGCAUUUUUACGUAUACUUCUGAUUAAUACGAUUGAAGGUGUGGUGAUGGAUUCCCAGCUUCUAUGCUUUAACCGGACCCCAACUCCUUCAUUAAGCCAUACUCACCUCUUCAAUUUCGAUUGGUUGGUGUUCCACUGCACAAAUACCGACCUUCAAAUCUUCAUUUUCCUGUAGGAUGCUUGAUGUGAAGGAAAGUGUCUUGACAGGAUGCUUGAUGUGAAGGAAAGUGUCUUGAC